rnacentral:rRNA from 1 species
CGGCACGGGUGAGUAACACGUAUCCAACCUGCCGUCUACUCUUGGCCAGCCUUCUGAAAGGAAGAUUAAUCCAGGAUGGCAUCAUGAGUUCACAUGUCCGCAUGAUUAAAGGUAUUUUCCGGUAGACGAUGGGGAUGCGUUCCAUUAGAUAGUAGGCGGGGUAACGGCCCACCUAGUCAACGAUGGGUAGGGGUUCUGAGAGGAAGGUCCCCCACAUUGGAACUGAGACACGGUCCAA